UACGGGGGGGGCAAGCGUUGUUCGGAAUUACUGGGCGUAAAGGGCUCGUAGGUGGCCAACUAAGUCAGACGUGAAAUCCCUCAGCUUAACUUGGGAACUGCGUCGGAUACUGGAUGGCUUGAAUUCGGGAGAGGGAUGCAGAAUUCCAGGUGUAGCGGUGAAAUGCGUAGAUAUCUGGAGGAAUACCGGUGGUGAAGGCGGCAUCCUGGACCGACAUUGACGCUGAACGGCGAAAGCUAGGGGAGCAAACGGG
rnacentral:rRNA from 1 species